CCCGCUGAACUUAAGCAUAUCAAUAAGCGGAGGAAAAGAAACUAACAAGGAUUCCCCUAGUAACUGCGAGUGAAGCGGGAAAAGCUCAAAUUUAAAAUCUGGCAGUCUUUGGCUGUCCGAGUUGUAAUCUAUAGAAGUGUUAUCCGCGCUGGACCAUGUACAAGUCUCCUGGAAUGGAGCGUCAUAGAGGGUGAGAAUCCCGUCUUUGACAUGGACUACCAGGGCUUUUGUGAUGCGCUCUCAAAGAGUCGAGUUGUUUGGGAAUGCAGCUCAAAAUGGGUGGUAAAUUCCAUCUAAAGCUAAAUAUUGGCGAGAGACCGAUAGCGAACAAGUACCGUGAGGGAAAGAUGAAAAGAACUUUGGAAAGAGAGUUAAACAGUACGUGAAAUUGCUGAAAGGGAAACGCUUGAAGUCAGUCGCGUUGUCCAGGGAUCAACCUUGCUUUUGCUUGGUGCACUUUCUGGUUGACGGGUCAGCAUCAAUUUUGACUGUUGGAAAAAGAUAAGGGGAAUGUGGCAUCCUUGGAUGUGUUAUAGCCCUUUGUUGUAUACAAUGGUUGGGAUUGAGGAACUCAGCACGCCGCAAGGCCGGGUUUUUAUUUAAACCACGUUAACGUGCUUAGGAUGCUGGCAUAAUGGCUUUAAUCGACCCGUCUUGAAACACGG
rnacentral:rRNA from 1 species